UAGUAAGAGUUAUUUGCUUGAAACUUAAAGAAUCUGGCAGUAUUUUAAUCUAAUUAGAGGAACCUGUUUAUUAAUUGAUAUUCCACGAUUAAUUUUACUUUGAUUAUUGAAUUUGUAUAUCAUUGUUAUAAAAAUUUUUUUAAUAAAAAAAAAUUUAAUUAUUUAUAUUUAAAUUUAUAUCAAAUCAAGAUGCAGUCUAUGUUAAAGAAUUUUAUGGGUUAUCAUGAAAAAAUUUAUGGAUAUAAAAUGAAAUUUAAUUUAUAAAGUAGAUUUAUAAGUAAUUUAAAUAAUUUUAUUUAAAUGAUUUAAGUUCUGAAAUAUGUACAUAUUGCCCGUCAUUUUCAUUUU
rnacentral:rRNA from 1 species